UACAGAGGUCUCAAGCGUUGUUCGGAUUCAUUGGGCGUAAAGGGUGCGCAGGCGGCGCGGUAAGUCGGGUGUGAAAUCUCGGAGCUUAACUCCGAAACUGCAUUCGAUACUGCCGUGCUUGAGGACUGGAGAGGAGACUGGAAUUUACGGUGUAGCGGUGAAAUGCGUAGAUAUCGGUAGGAACACCAGUGGCGAAGGCGGUCUCCUGGAGCCCUCUUGACGCUGAGGCGCGAAAGCUGGGGGAGCAAACGGG
rnacentral:rRNA from 1 species